UUGACCUCAAAUCAGGUAGGACUACCCGCUGAACUUAAGCAUAUCAAUAAGCGGAGGAAAAGAAACUAACAAGGAUUCCCCUAGUAACUGCGAGUGAAGAGGGAAAAGCUCAAAUUUAAAAUCUGGCAGCUUCGCUGUCCGAGUUGUAAUUUAGAGAAGUGUUACCC
rnacentral:rRNA from 1 species